rnacentral:rRNA from 1 species
UGGUCAUAUGCUCGUCUUAAGGACUAAGCCAUGCAUGUGUAAGUUCAUAUCAUUCCGAUGAUGAAACUGCGAAGCGCUCAGUAAAUCAGUUAUGAUCCGUUCAACGGUGUCCCAGCGGAUAACUGUGGUAAAUCUAGAGCUAAUACGUGGAACGCGGGAGCAAUCCCGCGGCAUUUAUUGGCAAAAACCGACGGAGUGCCGGGUCCUUCGGGGCUCGGUGCUCGAGUUGAAGGUGAAUAACUGUGCGAACCACCGGGCAACUGGCGGUGCGUUGAUCGAAUUUCUGCCCUAUCAACURGUUGGUAGGGUAGUGGCCUACCAAGGUGGUGACGGRUAACGGGGAAUCAGGGUUCGAUUCCGGAGAGGGAGCCUGAGAAACGGCUACCACUUCCAAGGAAGGCAGCAGGCGCGCAAAUUACCCAAUCCAGACAUUGGGAGGUAGCGACGAGAAAUAGCGAGGCGGGCCAAAGGCCCGCUAUCGGAAUGGACCAAACCUAAAGAGGUUGGUGAGUAGCAACUGGAGGGCAAGUCUGGUGCCAGCAGCCGCGGUAAUUCCAGCUCCAGUAGUGUAUAUCAAAAUUGUUGCGGUUAAAACGCUCGUAGUCGGAGGAGAAAGACAAGUGGUCGUUGCGAUUCAAUCGCAGCGGCCUCGGGUCUUGUGGUCGCGGGCUCCGGUGGUGGGCUUUAAUGCUUGUGGCCGGUCGCUCGCGAAGCGUGCCUUGAAUAAAGCAGAGUGCUCAAAGCAAGCGCAGCGCGUGAAUGUGAUAGCAUGGAACGAAGCAAGACGCGAGCGCGGUUUGUCGGUGAGGCUGCAGCGAUGCAGCCGUCCGGGCAGGGGUGACUCUGUUUGGGGCCGCGCUCGGUCGGAAUCAAGAGGGCCACUUGAGGGCGUUAGUACUUGGUGGCGAGAGGUGAAAUUCUUAGACCCACCAAAGACUGGCUAAUGCGAAAGCAUUCGCCAAGAGUGUUUUCAUUGAUCAAGAACGAAAGUUGGAGGUUCGAAGACGAUCAGAUACCGUCCUAGUUCCACACAGUAAACGAUGCCAACAUGGGGUCAGCUCGAAGGUGUUCAGGUUGGUCCCCCCGCGAAACCUGUAGUGUUCGGGUUCCGGGGAGAGUACUAUCGCAAGGUAGAAAUUUAAAGGAAUUGACGGAAGGGCACCACCAGGAGUGGAGCCUGCGGCUUAAUUUGACUCAACACGGGGCAACUCACCAGGUCCGGACAUGGGCAGGAUUGACAGAGCGAAGAUCUUUCAUGAUUUCAUGGAUGGUGGUGCAUGGCCGUUCUUAGUUGGUGGAGUGAUCUGUCAGGUUUAUUCCGGUAACGAGCGAGACCACGGUGUCUAGUUUAUGGCGGACGGGCGCAGUAAUGCGGGCGUUCGAUACUAGACAGACGACCGGAUUGAAGCCGGGGGAAGCGUGGCAAUAACAGGUCUGUGAUGCCCUUCGAUGUCCUGGGCUGCACGCGCGCUACAAUGGCGGUGACAGAAAGUGGUUGUGCCGAGAGGCACGACGAACCAGUAAUCACCGCCGUGAUUGGGAUUGAGCCUUGUAACAAUUGCUCAUGAAAGAGGAAUUCCUCGUAAGCGCGAGUCACCAACUCGUGUUGAAUACGUCUCUGCCCUUUGUACACACCGCCCGUCGCUACUACUGAUUGAAUUGGUUUUUGAAGCGUAGAGAUCGGCGGACGACCUCGGUUGUCAUGCCGAGAACCACCCUGAACAAAUCAUUCGAGAAGAAGUAAAAGUCGUAACAAGGUUC